rnacentral:rRNA from 1 species
CUCAGAUUGAACGCUGGCGGCAGGCCUAACACAUGCAAGUCGAGCGGAUGAAGGGAGCUUGCUCCUGGAUUCAGCGGCGGACGGGUGAGUAAUGCCUAGGAAUCUGCCUGGUAGUGGGGGAUAACGUCCGGAAACGGGCGCUAAUACCGCAUACGUCCUGAGGGAGAAAGUGGGGGAUCUUCGGACCUCACGCUAUCAGAUGAGCCUAGGUCGGAUUAGCUAGUUGGUGGGGUAAAGGCCUACCAAGGCGACGAUCCGUAACUGGUCUGAGAGGAUGAUCAGUCACACUGGAACUGAGACACGGUCCAGACUCCUACGGGAGGCAGCAGUGGGGAAUAUUGGACAAUGGGCGAAAGCCUGAUCCAGCCAUGCCGCGUGUGUGAAGAAGGUCUUCGGAUUGUAAAGCACUUUAAGUUGGGAGGAAGGGCAGUAAGUUAAUACCUUGCUGUUUUGACGUUACCAACAGAAUAAGCACCGGCUAACUUCGUGCCAGCAGCCGCGGUAAUACGAAGGGUGCAAGCGUUAAUCGGAAUUACUGGGCGUAAAGCGCGCGUAGGUGGUUCAGCAAGUUGGAUGUGAAAUCCCCGGGCUCAACCUGGGAACUGCAUCCAAAACUACUGAGCUAGAGUACGGUAGAGGGUGGUGGAAUUUCCUGUGUAGCGGUGAAAUGCGUAGAUAUAGGAAGGAACACCAGUGGCGAAGGCGACCACCUGGACUGAUACUGACA